rnacentral:snRNA from 1 species
ACAGAACGAGACCCUGAUAGUUUGAGGAUGCAGUGAGCUGUAAUCAUGCCACUGCACUCCAGCCUGGGCAACAGAG